AUCUUCGGAGGAUUUGUUGGGCGUCGAGCGGCGGACGGGUGAGUAAUGCCUAGGAAAUUGCCUUGAUGUGGGGGAUAACCAUUGGAAACGAUGGCUAAUACCGCAUAAUGCCUACGGGCCAAAGAGGGGGANCUUCGGACCUCUCGCGUCAAGAUAUGCCUAGGUGGGAUUAGCUAGUUGGUGAGGUAAUGGCUCACCAAGGCGACGAUCCCUAGCUGGUCUGAGAGGAUGAUCAGCCACACUGGAACUGAGACACGGUCCAGACUCCUACGGGAGGCAGCAGUGGGGAAUAUUGCACAAUGGGCGAAAGCCUGAUGCAGCCAUGCCGCGUGUAUGAAGAAGGCCUUCGGGUUGUAAAGUACUUUCAGUUGUGAGGAAGGGGGUAACGUUAAUAGCGUUAUCUCUUGACGUUAGCAACAGAAGAAGCACCGGCUAACUCCGUGCCAGCAGCCGCGGUAAUACGGAGGGUGCGAGCGUUAAUCGGAAUUACUGGGCGUAAAGCGCAUGCAGGUGGUUCAUUAAGUCAGAUGUGAAAGCCCGGGGCUCAACCUCGGAACUGCAUUUGAAACUGGUGAACUAGAGUGCUGUAGAGGGGGGUAGAAUUUCAGGUGUAGCGGNGAAAUGCGUAGAGAUCUGAA
rnacentral:rRNA from 1 species